rnacentral:rRNA from 2 species
UCAGCCGGCCAUAGGGGCGGGGUCCCACCCGGUCUCGUUCCGAACCCGGAAGUUAAACCCGUCACCGCCAUCGUGUUAGUGAGGUCCGGAAGGUCUCGCGAAGCGGUGGUGCCGGCGCCU